rnacentral:rRNA from 1 species
UACGUAGGUGGCAAGCGUUGUCCGGAUUUACUGGGCGUAAAGAGCGCGCAGGCGGUCGUUCAAGUCGCGUGUGAAAGCCCCCGGCUCAACUGGGGAGGGUCACGCGAUACUGAUCGACUCGAAGGCAGGAGAGGGUAGUGGAAUUCCUGGUGUAGCGGUGAAAUGCGCAGAUAUCAGGAGGAACACCGAUGGCGAAGGCAG